AGAGUUUGAUCAUGGCUCAGAAUCAACGCUGGCGGCGUGCCUAACACAUGCAAGUUGAGCGCUUGAGGGGGCAACCCCAAGAGAGCAGCGAACGGGUGAGUAACGCGUGGGUGAUCUUCCUUCGAGUGGGGAACAACAUCGGGAAACUGGUGCUAAUUCCGCAUAAUACCCUGGGGCUACGAGCCUCAGGAUCAAAGCCGGGGACCGCAAGGCCUGGCGCUUGAAGAUGAGCCCGCGUCCGAUUAGCUAGUUGGCGGGGUAAUGGCCCACCAAGGCUUCGAUCGGUAGCCGGCCUGAGAGGGCGGACGGCCACACUGGAACUGAGACACGGUCCAGACUCCUACGGGAGGCAGCAGUGGGGAAUUUUUCGCAAUGGGCGCAAGCCUGACGAAGCAACGCCGCGUGGAGGAUGAAGGUCUUCGGAUUGUAAACUCCUGUCGACCGGGACGAAUGCACUCGACCUAAUACGUCGGAAUGUUGACGGUACCGGUGGAGGAAGCCACGGCUAACUCUGUGCCAGCAGCCGCGGUAAUACAGAGGUGGCAAGCGUUGUUCGGAAUUACUGGGCGUAAAGGGCGCGUAGGCGGCCUUGUAAGUCUUGUGUGAAAGCCCUCGGCUUAACUGAGGAUCUGCACGGGAUACUGCGAGGCUUGAGUUCGGGAGAGGAAAGCGGAAUUCCGGGUGUAGCGGUGAAAUGCGUAGAUAUCCGGAGGAACACCAGUGGCGAAGGCGGCUUUCUGGACCGACACUGACGCUGAGGCGCGAAAGCUAGGGGAGCAAACGGGAUUAGAUACCCCGGUAGU
rnacentral:rRNA from 1 species